rnacentral:rRNA from 1 species
UGCCUUGGAGAGGGGAAUAACACUCCGAAAGGAGUGCUAAUACCGCAUGAUGCAGUUGGGUCGCAUGGCUCUGACUGCCAAAGAUUUAUCGCUCUGAGAUGGCCUCGCGUCUGAUUAGCUAGUAGGCGGGGUAACGGCCCACCUAGGCGACGAUCAGUAGCCGGACUGAGAGGUUGACCGGCCACAUUGGGACUGAGACACGGCCCAGACUCCUACGGGAGGCAGCAUG